UAUGGGUGGAUUCCUGGA
rnacentral:misc_RNA from 1 species